rnacentral:rRNA from 1 species
UACGGAGGGUGCGAGCGUUGUCCGGAAUCACUGGGCGUAAAGGGCGCGUAGGCGGCCCGCGCACGCGUGCGGUGAAAGCCCGGGGCUCAACCCCGGGUCGGCCGUGCGGACUGCGGGGCUCGAGCACUGUAGGGGCAGAUGGAAUUCCGGGUGUAGCGGUGGAAUGCGUAGAGAUCCGGAAGAACACCGGUGGCGAAGGCGGUCUGCUGGGCAGUAGCUGACGCUGAGGCGCGACAGCGUGGGGAGCAAACAGG